GAUGAAGAACGUAGCGAAAUGCGAUAAGUAAUGUGAAUUGCAGAAUUCAGUGAAUCAUCGAAUCUUUGAACGCACAUUGCGCCCCCUGGUAUUCCGGGGGGCACACCUGUCCGAGCGCCAUUUCAACCCUCGAACCCCUCCGGGGGGUCGGCGUUGGGGACCUCGGGAGCCCCUAAGACGGGAUCCCGGCCCCGAAAUACAGUGGCGGUCUCGCCGCAGCCUCUCCUGCGCAGUAGUUUGCACAACUCGCACCGGGAGCGCGGCGCGUCCACGUCCGUAAAACACCCAACUUCUGAAAUGUUGACCUCGGAUCAGGUAGGAAUACCCGCUGAACUUAAGCAUAUCAAUAAGCGGAGGA
rnacentral:misc_RNA from 1 species